rnacentral:rRNA from 1 species
AUUGAACGCUGGCGGCAGGCCUAACACAUGCAAGUCGAGCGGAUGAAGGGAGCUUGCUCCUGGAUUCAGCGGCGGACGGGCGAGUAAUGCCUAGGAAUCUGCCUGGCAGUGGGGGAUAACGUCCGGAAACGGGCGCUAAUACCGCAUACGUCCUGAGGGAGAAAGUGGGGGAUCUUCGGACCUCACGCUAUCAGAUGAGCCUAGGUCGGAUUAGCUAGUUGGUGGGGUAAAGGCCUACCAAGGCGACGAUCCGUAACUGGUCUGAGAGGAUGAUCAGUCACACUGGAACUGAGACACGGUCCAGACUCCUACGGGAGGCAGCAGUGGGGAAUAUUGGACAAUGGGCGAAAGCCUGAUCCAGCCAUGCCGCGUGUGUGAAGAAGGUCUUCGGGUUGUAAAGCACUUUAAGUUGGGAGGAAGGGCAGUAAGUUAAUACCUUGCUGUUUUGACGGUACCAACAGAAUAAGCACCGGCUAACUUCGUG